ACCCUAAAUGAUUUAAAAAAAUAAAUUAAAAUUCAUUAUUUGGACAGCAUUUUUUAUUUUAUUAGAGAUGGAAAGGAUCUAGAGAGAUAUAAAGUAUUAACUAUUGUUUAAUGCUCUUCCCCAUGCAGGUGCAAAGGAUACCGUCAAUCUUACAGAUGCCUUUGAAUGGACUUGAAGCUGUUCUCCAGGAGGUGGUACUAGCACAGGGAGACAAAGCUUACCUCACCCUGGCAUGCCAAGACAUACCUUGGCAUUGGCCUUCAAGUGCUUUGUUUCUGGGAAGAAGACUCACUUUGCUUGGCUGGAUGGUGAGAUCCACUGGGGUAAAUUUUCAGAGUCAUUCAAGGCAGAAAAUCGGAUUCCUUUUGCGGUUGAAACGUGUUUUUCCUGCAACCGGUAAUAUAAAGACUGUGUGGGCUUCGCCGGAAAUGGAAGACGAGGAGAGUACCCUCGUUACUACUCUGAUGGCAAACCUGGACACUGUCCUGAAUGUUAAUACUGUAUGCAAGGAGAAUAUUAGUUGUUUUCCAGUCUUUUACACAUUUCAGUUGUCACAUAUUGUUGUUUUGUUUUUGUUUUUUUGUGAGAUGCCAUUUUAAAUAAUUUCUGCUGAAGCACAUUUGCCUUAUGCAGUCAUUCUUUUUCAUAAUGUGUUAUUUUAAUGUAUUACAUUAUUACCAUUAUUUGGUUUUCAUAUAAGUGGCUGUAAUAUCUUGGAGAGAAAGUAGAACCAAUAAAGUAGUUGUAAAUAUAUUGUAACAGCAUUGUUUAACAAUUGGAUAACCUUGUUUUAAAAAUUAGAUAGACAAGCAAAGUUAAUAACGUGCAAUAUUUUAUAUGUGUAAAUACAAUGUUUCUUAUUGUUUUUGAACAAUGACUGGAAUCAAUAAAAAAUUUCUUUACAAAACUGAUAAACGGCUAAGUUGUUUAUGUUUUAACAGUCAGAAUCAACUUUUUUUUUUUUUUUGUAAUAAAGCAAGCACAUACAGAAACAUUUUGUCCGGUAACAAAGUCAUGACACAAACAUAAGAUGAAAGGUAUGCUGUGCGAAGGUGGAGACCUUGUGGGGGUGAAGAAAGCUCAGGUGAGGAGCAGUUGCACACAUCAAGCCGGACUUUAUAAAGGGUGGAGGAGAUGAGACCGCCGCCGUUAGGCUGGGACGGAGGCGUGUUAUCAGGAUAUUGGCUGAGCAGGUGAGAUGAAGACAGUUAUAGUUAGAAUUUACACAUUAGUUUAAUUUAUGUAUCCAAUGAUUUCAUUCAAAAUGGUUUUUA